GAUGAACGCUGGCGGCGUGCCUAAUACAUGCAAGUCGAACGAAACUUCUUUAUCACCGAGUGCUUGCACUCACCGAUAAAGAGUUGAGUGGCGAACGGGUGAGUAACACGUGGGCAACCUGCCCAAAAGAGGGGGAUAACACUUGGAAACAGGUGCUAAUACCGCAUAACCAUAGUUACCGCAUGGUAACUAUGUAAAAGGUGGCUAUACUACCGCUUUUGGAUGGGCCCGCGGCGCAUUAGCUAGUUGGUAGGGUAAAGGCUUACCAAGGCAAUGAUGCGUAGCCGAAUUGAGAGGUUGAUCGGCCACAUUAGGACUGAGACACGGCCCAAACUCCUACGGGAGGCAGCAGUAGGGAAUCUUCCACAAUGGGCGAAAGCCUGAUGGAGCAACGCCGCGUGGGUGAAGAAGGUCUUCGGAUCGUAAAACCCUGUUGUUAGAGAAGAAAGUGCGUGAGAGUAACUGUUCACGUUUCGACGGUAUCUAACCAGAAAGCCACUGCUAACUACGUG
rnacentral:rRNA from 1 species